GACGAACGCUGGCGGCAUGCCUAAUACAUGCAAGUCGAGCGAACAGAUGAAGUGCUUGCACUUCUGACGUUAGCGGCGAACGGGUGAGUAACACGUAAGGAAUCUACCUAUAAGCGGGGGAUAACAUUCGGAAACGGGUGCUAAUACCGCAUAAUAUCUUCUUCCGCAUGGAAGAAGAUUGAAAGACGGCUCUGCUGUCACUUAUAGAUGACCUUGCGGUGCAUUAGUUAGUUGGUGGGGUAACGGCCUACCAAGACGAUGAUGCAUAGCCGACCUGAGAGGGGUAUCGGCCACAUUGGGACUGAAAACCGACCCAACCUCCUACGGGAGGAAGCAGUAGGGAAUCGUCCGCAAUGGGCGAAAGCCUGACGGAGCAAUGCCGCGUGAGAGAAAAAGGCUUUCGGGUCGUAAACCUCGAUUAUAAGAAAAGAACAAUUUGUAGAGUAACUGUUACAGUCUUGACGGUAUCUUAUCAAAAAGCCACGGCUGACUACGUGCCAGCCGCCGCCGUAA
rnacentral:rRNA from 1 species